AGGGUUCGAUUCUGGCUCAGGAUGAACGCUAGCUACAGGCUUAACACAUGCAAGUCGAGGGGCAGCAUUGGAGUAGCAAUACUCUGAUGGCGACCGGCGCACGGGUGAGUAACACGUAUCCAACCUGCCGCUUACUCGGGGAUAGCCUUUCGAAAGAAAGAUUAAUACCCGAUGGUAUAAAGAGUUCGCAUGUUCUCUUUAUUAAAGAAUUUCGGUAAGCGAUGGGGAUGCGUUCCAUUAGAUAGUUGGCGGGGUAACGGCCCACCAAGUCUACGAUGGAUAGGGGUUCUGAGAGGAAGGUCCCCCACAUUGGAACUGAGACACGGUCCAAACUCCUACGGGAGGCAGCAGUGAGGAAUAUUGGUCAAUGGACGAGAGUCUGAACCAGACCCAAGUAGCGUGAAGGAUGACUCGCCCUAGUGGGUUAGUAAACUUCUUUUAUAAGGGAAUAAAGUGAGGGACGUGUCCCUUUUUGUAUGUACCUUAUGAAUAAGGAUCGGCUAACUCCGUGCCAGCCGCCGC
rnacentral:rRNA from 1 species